rnacentral:tRNA from 1 species
CGGAGUAUAGCACAGCUUGGUAGUGCGCUCGCUUUGGGAGCGAGAGGUCGUAAGUUCGAAUCUUACUACUCCGACCA